GUUUCAGACAGGAAAAAGGAAGUAUUUAAACUGUCUCAAGGUGAAUAUGUUGCUGUGGAAAGCGUUGAAAGCAAAUACUUGCAAUGCCCCCUUGUCACAUCGACAUGGGUUUAUGGGAACGGCUUUGAGUCAUUUCUUGUUGCUGUGGUUGUUCCUGGCAGAAAGGCCUUGGAGGACUGGGCAGCUGAGCAUCAUUUGACUGAUGAUUACAAAUCAUUGUGUCAAAACCUGAGAGCAAGAAAUUACAUUUUGGAUGAGCUUAAUAUUACGGCUUCGAGGGUUUGAGUUGUUAGAAGCAGCUUCAAAAUUUGGUGCAGAUGGCAAAGAAGGAACAUGAUGAGGUGGACUCUAAUCUCUUCUCUCGACUCCAAUCUUGCUUUUAUUGGGAGGAAUUUUCUUAGUUGAUUUAGGUUUCCGGGAACAACUUUGAGUUGUUUCUUGCUGCUGUGGUGACUUUGGUGGACAGGACAGAUAGCUGAACAUCACUUGACCGAUGACUUUAGAUCAUUGUGUCAAAACCAGAGGGCAAGAUAUGAAUUUUGGAUGAGUUUCCAGAUUCUGGGGAAAAUCACUUUGACAUGGAGAGUGAUCUCUCAGAACUUUCAAAUGAGAGAGUACAUGCAAGAUUGGCUGUGCACCUGUCCAACUGUCUGUGCGGCUGCUGAAAUUACUGAGUCAUCAGCUACUACCAAAUGUCGUGUGUGGCUGCAGUAACUCCAUUUGUUAAAAUCUCGUUUAUGCAUCCCGUCUACUGCUGCCUUCUUAGUAGAUGAGUUAUUUUUGAGUCUUUAUACCAGUGUAGUGGUGUUCCUCAGAUGCUGCAUGGUGCUUCUAGUAAUGCCACGACGAUAGGAUGUAAACCCUCUGUAUAUGGAGGUCACGGUCCAUGAAGAUAGGGACUUCUCAUAAAGGUUUGGUGAAUAUAUUGGUCAAUAGGCAGUCAUGAUUAUGAAAGAUGAUGAUGAUGACCUUGAAAGUGGAAAACCAAUUGCAUUUACUUCAGAGAAUAAUCUCCCAAGUUAUUUCCUAGUUCCAGCGUUUGUGAUCAUUAAUGUUUUUUGGUGCCUGCUAUUUUUGGUGACUCGCAUGGCAUUCGUAACUAAGGCUUCUUGGGGCUUGUUUUGAUGCAUGAAUUGCUACUUGCUUUACUGA